GUCUCCUCCUCACCACCUGGGUGACUUUGGGCAAGACAUUUAACUUCCUGAGCCUCUGGUUAAUCAUCAGCUAAAUGGGGCCAGAAAGACCCGCCUCCAGCUUCCCUCCCUAGCCGCUCGUGAGAAACCUGGGGCACCGAGCUUCCCUUCCCGCAGGCCCAGGGUGCCUGGCCUAGUCUGGUUGGUUCCUGCUGCAAACAGUUACACGGAGGUCCUCCCGGGGCUGGGUGUUCCACAGGCCUUUCCAGAUCACUUCCGUUUUACCAAGUCAUCGUCGAUACCAUCUUUUCCAGGAAACCUUUCCCCAUCGUGAGCCCCGCCUGAUGACUCCAUCUGAUACCAAACAUGGUUCCCACAAGCUCCGUUGUGCACCGCCUGGGGCUCUCGCUGCUUUGUGGGCAUACUGAAACUUGUUUCAGGCCCAGGACCACCCCCCCCACCCCAGCCCAACAAGCAAGGCUGGUGGGGCCCCCUCUCCUGGCUCUCCUCCAGGCUUGCCGUCAGGACACGGCUCCGCUUUUCAGAGUCUCUAUGGUUGCAGGCAGUGGGCAGGGGGUACAGUGGGCAGGGGUACAGUGGGCAGGGGUACACUGGUUAGAGACACAGCUUCCGAACACCCCCUCCCACCCCAAUGCACUAACUCUGUGACUUGGGCAGCUCUCCUCAUCUCUUCAUUUCUCUGUCUUGGGCAGAUGACCAUAAUACUGCACCCCACCCAAGACUGGGGUGAGGGUUUAGUAUUAUCAGAUGCUGCCCCUUCGUGGUAUUUUAAGUCUUAGCUCCCAGUAAAAGAUCUUGGGUCAUUUUGUGACAUUAUAGAAACGUAAGGAAAUUCUUACUGUUAUUAGCCUUGUGGGACUCAGUUUCCCCAUUUGAGGGUUGGGGCACAUGAUCUUUGAGGGUCCUCUGGUUUUAAUGAUUUAUAAUUCUAAAACAGGCCGGUGAAUGUCUUGCUUGGGAGUGUGUGGUGGUUUAGGGCCAGAAGUGUAGGGCUUGGGGUGACACCCAGGGGCCCAGGCUUGGGGAAGGGGGACCCAGUUGCUGGAAGGUGAUGACUGGAACCGUGCAAGAGGAGGGGUAGAUGUUGGGUGCUGGGCCUUCCCAACCGGGGCGGCCCUGUGUGCCGUCUCUAUCCAGAGCCUGUAGGAAGGCCAGUAUCCCCAGCUGGGGGAGCCCCAGUUCCCAUAGGGACUGGGAGGCCUCCUAAAAGAGCUAUGUGUAAGGGACUGACACAUUUCAUGGAUUGAAACCCCCAAUUUUUCUUUCUCUGGAGGAAAAUCCUGGAGACAGAUAGCAGCCACAGUCUUUCUUGGGGGGCUGGCCUUCCCCUCAUCCUGGGACUCCCUAAGUGGGCUGUCAGAAAAGACAUUCUCACCCGUUCUUGUUGUGAUCUCCCAGUGGAGCCCCUUUCUCUGCUCAGCUCGGGCAGGGGCUUGAGUCUUUGUUAGCCGGGCAGGUCCUUCACUCCUGUGUCGAGGAGCGCAGAGUGGGGGUUCUCCCCAGUGGGAGAACGGCCCGACAGGUGUCCACCUGCCCUCCCACACAGCAAGCCAGACUCCUCCGGAAGCGGCCUUGACCACUAUCACUCCGGAUACCUGCUCUCAGGAUCGACGGCGGUAGGUAGAAGUGAGAUGGUGACCCAUUGCCGUCGGGGCUGCCAAGGAGCUCCAGGGCACCUGCUAGCCCAGCCCCAUGUGGUAUCCGGGAAGCUGCCCCAGGACAGGCUGCCAAGCUCCUAUCUUCCAGGCUCUUUGUCCUGCGUGCUAUAGGCAUGGACUCAGAGGUGAAGAGUCUUGCUUGAGAAGUGACCAUGAUGGAAAUAGAGCCCGAUUCCCGGUCUGGCUGCUUCCCAGCACCUACCUGCCUCCUGCCUGCCACCGGGCUCUGCCUCCCAGCCUGUCCUUUCCACCCGUCACAGUCGUCCUCGGAAACCGCAUCAAGGUGUGGCUCACAGGCCCUUCUUGUGAAACAGCAGGAAGCCUGCUUGCUGAAGACUCAAUCUGGGCUGCGGGGGACGGUUUCCCGGCCAGCCUCCCCCCGGCGCAGCCACUGGGGUGCUCCAUGCCUCAUCGUACCACACAGGACAUCUCUGUGUUGCGUCAGGAUUAGAGUCGCCUGAUGGCUGGCCCUUCUUGCUACUCUGGGACUCCCCACCGAGCACACACCGUCCUCCCUCCUCCUCUGGCUUCUUUCCAUCCUGUCCUGCCUCCCCAGGGCCUCCUCGGCCUCCAGAACAGGGACUUGUCUGAGGAGCAUGGCCGGACGGAUGCUAAGCCCUCCUGGGAGUGCACGACAGUGGGUUUUCACGAAGGGGAUCCUUUUAAAACCCCGAAUCUCAGCUAGUCAUGUGAAAACGUGCUUGACAUCCUUCGUUAUCAGGAAAAGGCAAAUGAAAAUCACAAAGGGACACCACCAUGCCCUUACCAGAGUGGCUCCCCAGAAAGAACAGGGGACGCCACACACAGGUGAGGAAGAAGAGUCGCUCGAACACUCGUGGACCCCUGGUGGGCAGAAGUGGGCACAAUCGCUUUGGAAGACGGUUGGGCCAGACCUGUGAAUGCAAGGCCCCUUCCGGGUAUACGCCGAUCAGAGAUGAGGGUCGCGUGCCCCAGAGUUACCUAUAAGAAUGUCGUGGCAGCUUUAUUCAUAAUUGGCCCCAACCGGAAACAGCACACCUCUCUGUUGGUGACAGAAGUAAUACAUGGCAGUGGAGUCGCACAACGCAAAGGGCUUCAACAGGUGUCUGCUGUGAACAGAACUGGUGGUAGAAUCAUCUGAAAGGACUGUGCCAGGCUGAAACGCUGACCCCGCUCAUUAAGGAGGGCCUGUUGGAGCCCCUGCCUGGUCUUCUACCUCAGAAUCCUACUUUGCCUUCUGGCGUGGACUCAGACACAGGCGCCGAGGAACGGUCUACCUGCAGAGAGCCUGCGUCCCGAGGACUACAGGUAGGUCCCCAUCCUGGCUCCCUACUGUCCCCCACUGCUGUCACCAGCAGCCAGGGCCCAGGUGUCGAAGCUGAAGGUGACGAUCAAGGUGACUGACAGCCCAACGAACAGCACGUAUGGCGCUCCAGCUCUUACGUGCUUCACCCACCAAAUCACCCACUUUGCCACCGGUCCGUCCGGUUUCCUAGCUCAGGCUCUGCUUAUUCCUCAGUGACACCUGGCAUGGCCGGUGCUUCUGCACUAUUAAGAGUCCGCGGGGUGGCCUGUUGACGACGCGUCCAGAGCUCUGACUCCAUUACUGGGGGCUGGGGCCUGGAUGACUGAUGUUUUUAAGUCCCCAGUGACUCAGGCAUGUGUGUGCAGGGUUCACUUCUUUGGCUCAGUGGAGGCUGUGAUGUGUGUUGAUGGUACCCUGGAGCUGGUUCCCCAGAAGGGCUGUUCCUGAGCCUGCCUGGAGGAGAUCAAGGUGAGCUGGGGACCCUCGAGUAUGAGGCCCUCUGCUGUGGUGCGCUUGCGUGCUGGGGAGGGUGUGGUUGGCGGAGGGGAGGGAGGGAAGAGGGCUGUGCCUCAGCCUCUCCGCUGGGAGCUGGUGGUGUGGAAGUAGAGUGGGGAUUGGCCCACUAGAUGGGUAAAUCAGGCUGUAAAUCAGGGCAGAAAAUUGGGUUUGGGGACCACAGAAGCCAGUACCCAGACCCCAGGACUGGGUCAGGGCCAAGGUGCCUCCAGGAACAGGGUCUCCCCGCCAGCUUUCACAGAAGCCUUUCCUCCUGCACCCUUCCCCCUGACUCACCUACCUCCCAUUCUCCAAACACAGGGCAGAUACCACCUGGGAUAAUUGAGAUUUGUAAUAAGAAGCAUGUGUUUGGUCUUUGUCCUGGUUCCCGGCACAGAGCUCCUAAAACCCUCAGAAUUUCCUAAGUGAUAAGCGUGAUAAAGGUAUCUUGAUACUCAUAAGAGAUCCUUUCAACCACACCUGGGUUUAAGUUAAUGAAGUUUGGAAAACACCUAAGAAUGGGGGCUGGCUGCCAGGGCAACCAACCGUGUGAUUAGAAGGUUGGAACUCUCCGCCCCACCUCUGACCUCCAGGGAGGAUCGAGGGGCUGGAGAUUGAGCUCAGUUAUCAGUGGCCAAUAAUUUAGUCAAUCAUGCCUGUGUCCUGAAGCCUCCAUAAAAGCCCAAAGGGACAGGGUUUGGAGAAGCUUCUGGCUUGGUGACCCCAGGCAGAUGCGGGAAGAGAAGCUCCGCGCCCCUUCCCAUGUGCCUUGACUUAAAUGCAGCUCUUCUAGGAAUUAAAGCUUUUUCUAAUAAACAGGUGAUCUACUGAGUUAACUGGUUUCCUAAGUUCUGUAAGCCACUCUAGCAAACUAAUUGAACCCAAGGAACCUUUCAUUUCUAGCCCGUGGGUCAGAAGCAGAGGUGACAAGUUGGAUGUGACCCUGGUGUUUGAGGGGGGUGGGCAGUCUUGGGGGACUAUGCCCCUAGCCUCUGGGAUCUGAUGCUCCCUCCAGGUCGACAGUGUCUGGAGUGAAUUUAUUGCUCGGUGGCAUGGAAGAAAAUGCACAUUGGCAGUGGUGUCAGAAUCCUACCAUCUUUUCUGCUCGACACCAAAUGUGGCUCCCACAAACUCCGUUUAUAACCCACGGGGGUUCACACUGCUCCGUGAGCGAACUGAAACUGGUGUCUGGUCUAGCAUUCUCCAGAGUUAGGCUGGUGCCACCCCCUUCCCUGGCUUUCUUCCCCCCUCCUGCUGCUUGAGACCUGGCUCUGGGCCCCUGAGCUGGUUCAGCGCAUGCGUUCUGAUGGUCUCGUCCCCAAGCCUUAGCUUCCUCUCCUGGGUUCAGUUCUCAUUGGGCCGAAUGAGCAUGUUGGGCUAGAAUGAUCUUUUAGAACUAACAGAAGGUGCUAAAUUCUCAAGUUGGCCUGGGAUCCUCUUAAACACUUCUGGUCUGGAGAACCCCUACACAUCCUUUAGGCCCAGGGGAAACAUCACAAGCCUUUCAGACCUUCCCAAGUAAAAUGAAGACAUUCUUGUUCUGUGCUACCCAUAGGGCUUUAUGCACAGUUCUGCUUCGACUUGUGGCCAGCAGGCACUGGCUGUUUUGGAAUUUGGGACCCCUGGACGCUCAGAAUUUUUUGAAAGAAGGACUCUGGGCGGGAUCAUUACAGAAACUCAGGAGUGGCCUGGCCCAGAGUGGCCAAAUGAAUGAAUGCAUGCAUGAGUAAAACAAUGAAUUCCUCCGUUCAUCAAGUUCACUCUCUUUAACAUCCUACAAUCAGAGUGCUCGAGGUAAGGAAGAAGGGAGAGGGGCCUCCAUGGUACCCAGAAAGGAGCUCUGGCUGCCUAGCUAUCUUAGUCCCAGGCCCACAGCUGAAGGCAGUGGUGGGCACACCCCAGGGGGACCUUAGCCACACUGGUAGGUUCUGUCCCCAGGUCACCUAGCAUUUUGUCCUCUGGAUGUGGGGAGAGGGCUGAGGGUUGAGGUUUGGGCAGAAGGAGCCUAACCAGGAAAGUUCUUCCUGAGCCUAGCUCAACUAGCAACUAGAGAGUGAGGUGUGCCCUGUACUCCUGGGACCCUGGGGGAAGGGGCCGGAUCUGGCUUCCCUGGCCUGGAGAGCCUGUGCCUGGGACUAAUUGGCUGGCCCUCCUUCCGCUGCUGGGGAAAGUCUUGGCUAAUUUGCCGGAACGCUCUAGUUAAAUGCCAAUUAGGACGUUCUGUCCACUGCUCUUUUCCAAUAUAUUAAUAAUGUAAUUAAGCAUUUAUUGCCUGUGCAAAUUAAAAAUUAACUUAAACGGACAGCCUGGAAAACUGAGGAAGUGACCACUUAAACAACCAAUUUGCAUCUCAUUCGAGAACCAGCAUCUAAACAGUCUAGGGUGCUGGUCUGGCCUCCCAGCUAGGGGCCCAGCCAGCUGCCAACAGCUGCUGGCUCCUUCUCCACGCCUGAUUCCCCGAUUCUGCCUGCCCCCGCCUCCACGCUUCACUGGAUCCUAGGUGUGGAGGACGGGCUUCAGCCCAGAUGAGCCGGACGGAAGGACCACCUUGGCCUCCAACACCUGCUUUCCCACCCCCCGCUACCUUCCUCAGGGGCAAAUGGUGUGGAUUUCAGUGAAAGGAGAUGCUACUGGUGAUGAUGGGGGGGGGGGGUGUGUGUGACCCCCUGCCACUCCCACCCAAGACCGAUUUGUCCUGCAUUCCAGCCCAGGAGAUGGGAAGCAGAUGGUGCUGGAGUUGGGAGGGGAGGUGACCAAGGAAGGAUGAGCCCUUCUCUGCAACCAGUCCCCUGGAGAGAUGAGUAGCUGGGUCUCUGGCAGAGAGAGCUGGCAGGGGACAGGUCCUGGUGGUCUCCUCGAAACAAAAGAUGAAAGGAUAAAGCUCCCCAUCUCUCCCCUGUCCCCAGUCUGUCUGACAUGACAGGUGUGCCAGUGCUGGUUUUCUCCUCCAAACAACAGCAGGAGGGGACUUGGCAGGAAGGAGCAGGACAGCAGGG